UACGUAGGGUGCAAGCGUUAAUCGGAAUUACUGGGCGUAAAGCGUGCGCAGGCGGUUUUGUAAGUCUGUCGUGAAAAUCCCCCGGGCUCAACCUGGGAAUUGCGAUGGAGACUGCAAGGCUAGAAUCUGGCAGAGGGGGGGUAGAAUUCCACGUGUAGCAGUGAAAUGCGUAGAGAUGUGGAGGAACACCGAUGGCGAAGGCAGCCCCCUGGGGUCAAGAU
rnacentral:rRNA from 1 species